rnacentral:lncRNA from 1 species
AAUUAUUGUUUCGGGGCACUUCUGGAACUCAAAUCAAAAAACUCAGAACAUAAUACAGAAAGACAAUUAUAUAGGUCAUGCUGUCAAAAAACUUCAGAUCAAAAAUAUGAUCGGGUGAUAUUUGCCGAAUUUUUCCGUCAAGCAGACAAAAUCUGUUUCUGGACAGCAUGUCGCAACUUUUGAACUUUCUUGCAAUCGGAGGCUAAAACUUGGCACAAAGCUUGUAGAUAAAGAUAGAAUGAUGUUUCUACAGUAGUAAAAAUCAUAAAUACCACUAAAACUUAAAAUAAAA